AUGGAGUCGAAACUGAUCUGGGUUUUCCUUGUUGCUCUUUUAAAAGAUAUCCAAUGUGAAGUGCAGCUGGUGGAGGCUGGAGGAGGAUUGGUACAGCCUGGGGGUUCCCUGAAACUCUCCUGUGCAGCCUCUGGAUUCACCUUCAGUGACUAUUAUAUGGACUGGAUCUGCCAGGCUCCAGGGAAUGGACUGGAAUGGAUUGCAGUGAGUAGAAACAAAGCUAAUGGUUACACAACAGAGUACAGUGCAUCUGUGAAAGGCCGGUUCACCAUCUCCAGAGAUGAUUCCAAAAACACCCUCUACCUGCAAAUGAACAGCCUGAAAGCUGAGGACACUACCACUUACUACUGGGCAAGACACACAGUGAGAGGACUUCAGUGUGAUCCCAGACAGAAAUCUCCUUGCAGGGGCGAGAGAAAAAGGCCAAGAUGUAUUAUUUAUCCACAUACUACUUUUCUCAGGAAAGUUCUCUGCAACAUAUAA